rnacentral:rRNA from 1 species
CGGGGUGGAGUAACGCGUGGGUAACCUGCCUCAUACAGGGGGAUAACAGUUAGAAAUGACUGCUAAUACCGCAUAAGCACACAGUACCGCAUGGUACAGUGUGAAAAACUCCGGUGGUAUGAGAUGGACCUGCGUCUGAUUAGCUAGUUGGCGGGGUAACGGCCCACCAAGGCGACGAUCAGUAGCCGACCUGAGAGGGUGACCGGCCACAUUGGGACUGAGACACGGCCCAA